GAUGAACGCUGGCGGCGUGCCUAAUACAUGCAAGUCGAGCGAACAGACGAGGAGCUUGCUCCUCUGACGUUAGCGGCGGACGGGUGAGUAACACGUGGAUAACCUACCUAUAAGACUGGGAUAACUUCGGGAAACCGGAGCUAAUACCGGAUAAUAUAUUGAACCGCAUGGUUCAAUAGUGAAAGACGGUUUUGCGGUCAUUUAUAGAUGGAUCCGCGCCGCAUUAGCUAGUUGGUAAGGUAACGGCUUACCAAGGCAACGAUGCGUAGCCGACCUGAGAGGGUGAUCGGCCACACUGGAACUGAGACACGGUCCAGACUCCUACGGGAGGCAGCAGUAGGGAAUCUUCCGCAAUGGGCGAAAGCCUGACGGAGCAACGCCGCGUGAGUGAUGAAGGUCUUCGGAUCGUAAAACUCUGUUAUUAGGGAAGAACAAAUGUGUAAGUAACUAUGCACGUCUUGACGGUACCUAAUCAGAAAGCCACGGCUAACUACGUG
rnacentral:rRNA from 1 species